UCUCUUUUUUGUUCACGUGGUAAUUCCAGGAGAACAAAGCAAACUGAGCCUGCUGUAACUCCAUCAGCUACAUCAGAGAGGCACUGGGUCCAGUAUUUGUUUCUGUGGUCAGCUGCUGGGUGAAGGAUGUUUUGCAAUAAGCUUCGGUUUAAGGAUGAAGGCAGAAUGACAUGACGUAUGUGAAGCUGCUCUUGAAACCAGCAUCAUAUCAUCAACAUCCACGCUGUGAAAGGAUGAGGUCUUGGGAUCCAUUAAACCACUCUGGAGAAGAGUCUUUCCAUUCUCCAAGACAGAGACCUGAAUGAUCCCUGAUGGAAACGCUGGUAGGUCAAGUGCAGUCAGUGGCACCUAACUGAUAUGAACAUACCUGCUGUCAGGCAGUGUGACACUUCCAAAAUUUGCCAUAGCUUACUUUGGACUGGGCACAUGUUAAAGGCAAUUUUGUGCCACCACCGAGUCUUCUUGUGGAAGUUAUAUUUGGAAAUGUUUGUAUCUGUGUUCCAAUCUGUGCUUAGUGUUGUUUUCCAAGUCCUACAGUACUCAGUGAAAAUUACUCUCUGCUUCCUAGCCAUUUAUUUAUAAAUGGAUUGUACAUUUUUGUACUGUUGCUUGUUAGAGAAAUUACACUGUAAUGUGAGUCUCUGUUUUUUUCCUCCAUUUAAUUCCACUGUAAAAUUAAACAAAAGUGAAGCAAGAAUAUGAUAUAGCGUUGGGUAUAUUAAUCAUGGUAACACCUUAGAAAGAAUUUCACAUUGUGCCACAAAAAUAAGCUACCUCAUUUAAAUACCUUGAAACUUUGUAGAGCUUUAAGAUAGCAAGAUAUGGAAGCUUGCCCUGCAACUCUAGGACUAGGCAUAUUAAACUCUUGAGUGUGAACAGAUCAGACAAAAAUAGGCGUUAAAAACUUUACUGGACAACAUUAGAACUUUUGGAAAUUCCAGAAUUACCAGUUCAGUUCUGACUUUAUUGGUAUGUUUCCAAACAAGAACACCAAGAUUUUUUUUUAAGACAAGUGCCUAAAGUUAGGCUCCUAAAUC